rnacentral:rRNA from 1 species
AUUAAACGCUGGCGGCAUGCCUUACACAUGCAAGUCGAACGGUAGCGCGGGGCAACCUGGCGACGAGUGGCGAACGGGUGAGUAAAGCAUCGGAACGUGCCCUGGAAUGGGGGAUAACGUAGCGAAAGUUACGCUAAUACCGCAUAUUCUGUGAGCAGGAAAGCAGGGGAUCGCAAGACCUUGCGUUCUGGGAGCGGCCGAUGUCGGAUUAGCUAGUUGGUGGGGUAAAAGCCUACCAAGGCGACGAUCCGUAGCGGGUCUGAGAGGAUGAUCCGCCACACUGGGACUGAGACACGGCCCAGACUCCUACGGGAGGCAGCAGUGGGGAAUUUUGGACAAUGGGCGGAAGCCCUGACGCAGCCAUGCCGCGUGAAUGAUGAAGGUCUUAGGAUUGUAAAAUUCUUUCAGCGGGGACGAUAAUGACGGUACCCGCAGAAGAAGCCCCGGCUAACUUCGUGCCAGCAGCCGCG